GGAUCCCAUCAGCUCAUCUUGGGCACCACGCCACAGAAGGACAGAGCAAGAUGGUGUCUGUUCAUGGAGCGUGACCCUGGUGGCAAGGACACCUGGACCCCUGGCAUUGGAGAAAUGGCCAAAGCGUCAUACAUUCUGCCUGGAAUGAAGGAGACUUUGUGUGGGACAGAAGAAGCAUCUCUGAUGUUUGAAGUCUUGUUAGAGAAAAAGCAAAGACUGUUCUGAGCUCCCUGAGGCUGUUGGAUUAGCUCCAAAGGUCAAGGGUCCACUUUUGGCCUGGUGUAGGGGAAACCUCCUCCUGAAACUGCCUGCCACAGGAUGGGUGGACUUGGGCAUAGGGAGCUCCCUGUUCCUGCAGCUGAAGGACCACUUGAAUGGGUAUUACAGGACAUGCAAGAAUGGAGCUGUUGGCCUGGACUGGAUAACCAUAAAGAACAUCUUCACCCAGGACAAGAACAGCCUCUAGCCAUGACCUUGAAGAUGACCAUGACCAAUGGCCAUGACCACAGAGAAUAUCUUUACUUGCAGGUAGGACCUAGUCCCAGGCCAGGAAAAACCCCAAACCAUGACCUUGAAGGUGACCAUGACCAAUGAUCAUGACAAUAGAGAACAUCUUCUUUCCCUGGACAGCCCCAACAAUGACCGUGAACAUGAGCGCGUUGCAGAAUCUGAUGGGCCCUGUGACCCGAGGGACAGGCAGGCCCUGGGAAGGCAGCCACCAUGCUGUGAGGACGUUCAGGCAGCCCUGUGGGGAGGCCCAUGUGCUAAGGAACUGAGGACUCCCACCAGCAGCAGGCAGCGUCAACUUGCCAGCCAUGUGAGUGGGCUGCUUGCAAGUGGACCUUCCAGCCCCAGCCAUGCCUUUAGAAGACUGUAGCCUUGGCUGACAUCUGCCUGCAGUCCUAUGAGAGACCUCUGGACAGGACUGUCCAGCCAAGCUGCUUCUGAAUUCCUGACCACAGAGCCUGUGAGAGGUGACAAAUAAUUACUGCUGUUUUAACCCAUGAAGCUUCGGGCUAAUUUGUUAUGCGGCACUAGAUAACAAAUACAGCUGGUUAUUGUGGUAGGCAGCUUCCAAGACGGCUGCCAACGAUCCCAGCCUCCCGGUCAUUCGUGCCGUCAUGUAAUGCCCUCUGCUUUAGUGUGGACUGGACAUGGUGACUUGCUUCUAAUGAAAGAAUAAGGCACAUCUGAUGGGGUGUCACUUGGAGAUUACGUUACAAAAGUCUCUGGCUUCCAUUAUGGGUGACACUUGCUCUCUUGCUGGUUCUGAGGGAAGCCAGCUGCCAUGUUGUGAGCUGUCCUCUGGAGGGGUCCACAUAGCCAAGAACCGAGAGAUGUCUCCAGCCAACAGCCAGUGAGGAACCGAGGCCACGAAUCCAACACCUUGUGAUAAAUGGAACCUUGGCAGCAGCCAUGUCGGUGAGCUGAGAGUUGAACCUUGAAAUGACUGCAGCCCCAGCAGACGCCUCGGUUCCAGCCCUGUGAGAGGCCCUGAACAAGAGGACUCAGACAAGCUGCCCCUGGGAUCCAAGUGCACAGAAACAAUGAGGUAGAAAAUGCUUGUUGUUUUAGAGCUGCUGAGCGUGGGGUCAUUUGUUACACAGCAAUAGAUUAUUAAUACAGUUACGAGGAAUGGUGCCAACCUCACCUGUCCUGUCCCCAGGGGAGCUGCUUGGCUGUGGUCUAGACUUGGGUCUCAACCUACUGAACCACUCGAACCUUGGUCAGUCAGGGGCCCAAAGCAGGUAGGGGGAGCAUUGAGGGGCUGAGAAUAUGGGGGGGCAUCCUAAUACCUGCCGAUUUCUGGAAAACCAAGUCAGCCUCCAUAAGACCAUAGGAGAUGAAUAAGUAUGUGGGUGAGACAUAAGUUCAAGGCCAGGUUCUAUCCUCCUGUACCUGUGUGACGUUUAGCAAUGUUACAAGUCCUCCAGGAGCUCUGGCUCCCAAGUUGCCCUGCUGGAGCAGAGGGGGGGCAUGCAGGGAUGCAACUGCCCAGUUAGCACCAACCAGAGAGCCAACAUGAGGACUGAGCAACAGGAUCUCCAGAAGGGAGCUUGGCCCUGGAACAUGGUAGGUGCUUGAUACAAGACUGACCCUGUAGCUGUCAGGAUUCUUGGCAUACUGUCUUCGGUCCAACCACUGAUGUCACAAAGCCCUCACAGUGCCCUCCUGAUGCCCAGAUCGAGGAGGACUUGGGGAGGAUGCCGGCUCUUCAAAGACGAGGCGGUCUCAGCUGUGUAAUCACCACCACUUUGCUUGGGGCCCUCCCCGAGGAACAUACUCCGGGAUCCAUCACCCCCUUGCUCCGAUCCAAGUUGUUUUCUUCCCGCUGUUGAAAAAGUAGAAAUAACUAGAAGUCUCUUGACUUGGCGGUUCGUGCUGGAGCCCAGUGAGAGGGUUGUGUUGAGUCCUAGAGGCUAGGAUUCAGCGGGGCUGUGCUCCCUCGAGACUCUGGGUAGGAUCCUUCCUUGCCUUCUCCCUGCAGCUUCAAUCUCCAUCGUCACGUGGCAUUCUCCCUGUGUGUCUCUGUGUUCAAUCUGAUCCUCUUAUAAGGACACCAAUCAUAUUGGAUGAAGGGCCUACCCCGGUGCUCAUCUUAACUUCACUAGAACCAUCUGCAAAGACCCUAUUUCCGAAUAAGGUCACCUCCACAGGUCCCAAGGGUUGGGACUUCACCAUAUCUUUUGGGGGGACAUGACUCAAUCCAUGACAGAGUCAGAGGAGGGAAGAGCCCCCAGUGACCAGGCCGCAGAGCAGAGCAUCAGAGGCCUCAGAAGGCUGAAGAUCUCCCAUCCUGCUGAGACCUCAGCCUCCCCAGCAAUACUCUUGCAUCAGAGUCCCCUUCUCUGCCCCUGGCGCUGCAGAGGUGCCAGGCUUUGCUGUGGGCCUGAAAAACUGUCCUUUCACAGCUGUGUAGAGAGAAGAAUCAGGCUAGCUGCAGGACGGCUGCACCUCUAAGGGGGCCCGGACCUCCCCGGGAGGGCGGCUGUCCUAGACCUUGUCCGGUGGCCUGGUCUGAGGGCACCAUGUCCACCUGCCAUCAGCAGCAGGAGAUGUGGCCUGCGUGUCCCCCUGCUCUAAGAUUUCACCUUGACUCCCAAGUCCUCCCCACAUUCUCCCCAGGCAGCAGGGGCUUUGCCCGGGCAACAUUUCUGGGUGGGCUCUCGGAAGAUCUCUGUGCUCUGUUGCUCAUCCAGAGAGAACCGGCGGCAGCAGCUAAACGGUCCGCUGUGCCAGUGCCCUGCUGGGUGAAGCAGGUUCAUGUGGGGGAGUGACGAUGGCACUGUUGCUGUGUCUUGGGUUGGACAUUGGAUUAUUUUCCUCCAACCCGACCAAGAGUUUUGGCUCUCAGAGAAGAGCUCCAGAAGCUGCGUUUAUAAACACCAGUGGGUAUCGGAUUUAGUCAAGGGUAUCCAGCGCCUGGCAUCCGUCACCUCUCACCAGCCCUGCUGUGGCCGCUAAGUUCGGUUCCAUAACCCAGACAGCAGACAGAAGGGGCCGGGGCCCGAUGGUCCCCAACCAUUUCAUUGGGUGUGGUUGUUACUUCCUGGGUCGCUCACCUUUGGUUGAAUUUAAGUUUGUCAGACUAAGCAGCCUUUAACUGGAGACCCUGGGGUUCCUUGGAACCCAGGCCACCUCUAAGCAUGGGAUCGAGUCUGGAGUGUAGGAAACAAAAUUUGUCACCCCAAAAUGUCUCUGGCAUGUAGAUUAUUUCACGCUGAAAAUUAUCAAGGCCCAAAAGAAUCAGGAAGAAAUUUUGAACUACCCCCCUAAUCGCCUGAAAAAUUUAGAUAGAGGGCCUAUUACAGGAAUAGAGCUAUCACCAGACGUCUGCAGAGAAUACAAGCUAGGUGUGGUAGGGGAACACUUAGAGAUCAGAGUCUACUCUGUGUCCCAUUGUCUCUGCAGGGCCCCAGCAAACAUUUAUUUACUAAACACGUGCUUUUCCAUCUCCAGGUGAAUUGCCUUUCUCCCCUUCGAAGUCCCAAGCCACUACUCCCAACAUCCUCUGCUGUCUUUAGCUGAAGGUGACAUUUAAAGUGAGGACUUUGGCCAUUUUGGUGAGUUCCACCAUCUGUCAGGGACUCUUCUCUGCUGGAUACACAGCACCUACUCAGCCAGAGGAAACUCACACGUCAGGACACGAAUGACGGUCAUCCGGGGGCUUCACGACCUACCGACUUCCCCCCUGGGCUUGAAAUCUGGUGCGUCCAGUCAGAGCUGGCACCUGGCCAAAAUGCAUUCAUGUCCCGGCUCCGCACCUCCUGCUGUGUGUCCUGGUGAAGGUUACAGCCUCCCCCAGCCUCAGGCUCCCAGGUCUGCAGAGUGAGGGCGAUGAGGAUGACAGCACUGCCAUGACACUUACCUUAGAGGAAGGCCAUGAUGACCAAAUGCAACAGCAUGAGUGGGAGAGCACCAAAGAGCAGAGUCAACGAGAAUAAACACAUCCAAAGCCUGGAGACCGGAGAUGGUGAUCAUUCCAAAACCGGGAAGUCAUGACAAUGAUACCAGUAAGUUAACAGCCCAUGGUGGUGGGUUCCCAGCAUCCCUGGAGCUGUGCCUGCACCUUUGCCUCCGGGGAGCUGUAAGAAUAUUUGCUCAGCUGUCAUGAGGUUGGCAGGCUCUGACAAGACACCAGCGUCCAGGCUCGCUUUGCAUCUCAAAAGCUGCUGGAGACACUUCUCCACAGGACUGAUUGCAGCCUGGUGACAUUGCUGCCGUGUGGGGACCACCUUGGCUUACCCUGAGGUAAACCAAGUCCAGAUUCAGAAACAUGUCACAUCAAGACAUUUCUGUUCCUUUUCUCUUAAAAUGGAAGAGAACAAUGCUAGGCCAACUGUAAAAAAACAAAACAAAACAACACAAAACACAAGGCAAAGCAAACCCCCAGUCAUCCCUUCAAAGCGUGUGGGAAGCUGAAUGAAGCAAUGUCAAGGUGCUCAAUUUCAGAAGUUUUCAAGUUCUCGGAAGUUGGGGUUCCUAAGAUCACUCCAGUUGUUGACACACGAGGGCAAAGUCAAUGGCAUGUGGAAAUCAUCCAUCCACGUGAGGCUAGUGGAGACCGUUCCUUCUGCUGGCUUCCCUGUCUCUGCCAGGUGCCAGGCUGGGGAGUGCUUCCCUUCUUCCCACAUCCAGAAGGUUCCUUUCCUGGUCAUUCUUGCUCUCAGCCUUGCGCUCACCAUGCUUACUGUCCGGAACAACCCUGGUCUUCCUGCCUUCUGUCUCUGCCCUCCACCUGCCCCCUGCCCAUCAGGUCCUAGCCUCUAGAUCUCUGCAGGCCACCCUCUGUCCAGAGCUUUGACAGCCUCUAACCCGCCCUCGGCCUGGGCAGAGGUUCCUCCUAGCUUCCCAGCUUUGCAGGUCUCGUACACCCCAGGAAAUGGCCGAGGUUGUGGGUGGCUGGAGGAGGCCCUGGUCGGGGAGUUCCGUCCCGGGGAUCCCAGGGGGCCCACAGUCUCUGCACCUGCAUCACCCGUUCACACACACUGCUGGCCAAGUUCUGCAGAGCCUCAGAGCCUGUGAUCAAGCUGUCCCCUCUGACUGGGGUUGGGUGUGUGGCCCGGUUGCCAUUUCCUCCAAACCAUCACUUUAAGCAAACAGGGAAAACCAACCAUUAAUAAUGUGAGACAACCCGCUAGCAACAUGGUCCCCGAAACCACAGGACCACUGGGUUACUGCUGACCCAGUGCCUCUGAACCCAAGCUGCAGGAAUAGCAUCCUUUUCUACAUAGGCUGUUUUAUUAAUGUCCUAGGGCUGCUGCCACAAAUUACCAUGAACUUUAAAAAAACCCACAAAAACAGAAGUUUAUUCUCUCACAGUUCUGGAGGCCAGAUGUCCAAAAUCUACGUGUCAGCCAGACUGGGCUCCCUCUGGAGGCCCUAAGGGGCGGAGCCUCCCUCCCCUCUUCCAGCUUCUGGUGGCAGCUGGCAUUCCUUGGCUUGUGGCCACAUCACAUCCAUCUCUGCCUGUGUCUUCACACGGCCUUCCUUAAGUGUUUCCUCUUCUGUCUCUUGUAAGGACUCUUGUCAUUGGAUUUAGGUCCUGCCCUAAUUGAGGAUAAUCACACCUUGAGAUCCUUAAA